UGAUUAAAAAAGUUUUUGGCUAA
rnacentral:tRNA from 2 species